rnacentral:rRNA from 1 species
GACGAACGUUGGCGGCGUGCUUAAUACAUGCAAGUCAACUGAAGCAGUGGUAGCAAUAUCGCUGUGGAGGUGGCGCACGGGUGAGUAACACGUAGGUAAUCUGCCUUCAGGUCUGGCAUAACUCCGGGAAACCGGGGCUAAUAGCAGAUGAUGCAGCGGCUCGACAUCGAGACAGUUGUUAAAGCUAUGGCGCCUGAAGAUGAGCCUGCGUCUGAUUAGCUAGUUGGCGGGGUAACGGCCCACCAAGGCAACGAUCAGUAGCUGGUCUGAGAGGAUGAUCAGCCACACUGGAACUGAGACACGGUCCAGACUCCUACGGGAGGCAGCAGUAAGGAAUAUUGCUCAAUGGGAGAAAUCCUGAAGCAGCAACGACGCGUGAGGGACGAAGGGCUUUUGCUUGUAAACCUCUGUAGUGAGAGAAAAAAAUCCCAAUCUUUGGGACAUGAUGGUAUCUCAAAAGUAAGCCCCGGCUAACUAAG